CAUGCAGUGAAAGCCUAGCGUUCCUAUGGCCGACAGAGCUUCAGUUGGCCGCCGCUCUUGCCACACGGUGAUUAUGGAAACUCCAGUGCAACUCGCCUUGGCACUCCUAAUCAUAGGAGGAAUGAUAAGAGGAUCCUUUCUCUUGGGAGAGGAAAACGUAGAUAUGGAACGACUUUGUUUCAGUGCUGGAAUAGAUAAUGCUGGAAUCCAUUCUGGUUAUACAAGCUGCAAACAACAAACAUGUAAAGAAGAGUGCAUGAAGAAUGACUUCCAUGGAGGAAGAUGUUUUUGUGGAAGUUGCAAUUGUUAUAUAUACUAAUUUAGUAGUGAUCCUGGGAUUUCUUAAAACCCAAAUCUAAUGUUUUCUUUUUUUUAAAAGCAUUUCAUAAAAUAUUAUGAAUUUGUAAUCUUAUAGUUCAGAAUAAAUGUUAUAUUACAGUUUGAUUCAUAUUAUCAUAACAUUACAUUUGUGUAUAAUUUAAGGUAUCUACUCACUGAAUAAUAGAAGUAUUGAAUUGUCAAAAGGCACAAACAACAAGACUGAGAACUUUACCAAG